rnacentral:rRNA from 1 species
GAUGAACGCUGGCGGCGUGCCUAAUACAUGCAAGUCGAGCGAACGGACGAGAAGCUUGCUUCUCUGAUGUUAGCGGCGGACGGGUGAGUAACACGUGGAUAACCUACCUAUAAGACUGGGAUAACUUCGGGAAACCGGAGCUAAUACCGGAUAAUAUUUUGAACCGCAUGGUUCAAAAGUGAAAGACGGCCUUGCUGUCACUUAUAGAUGGAUCCGCGCUGCAUUAGCUAGUUGGUAAGGUAACGGCUUACCAAGGCAACGAUGCAUAGCCGACCUGGGAGGGUGAUCGGCCACACUGGAACUGAGACACGGUCCAGACUCCUACGGGAGGCAGCAGUAGGGAAUCUUCCGCAAUGGGCGAAAGCCUGACGGAGCAACGCCGCGUGAGUGAUGAAGGUCUUCGGAUCGUAAAACUCUGUUAUUAGGGAAGAACAUAUGUGUAAGUAACUGUGCACAUCUUGACGGUACCUAAUCAGAAAGCCACGGCUAACUACGUG